rnacentral:lncRNA from 1 species
GGGUUUGCUGGGGUUUGGUCGGAUCUCUCUUGGGAACCUUGUGGUGGUGUUGAUUUUUGCACAACACUGAUAAUUAGUGACUUUGACGCAAUUAGUCACUUCGGUCACCGGAAAAUUGCAUGGUGACUGAGUUAUUUCUUCCCGGAUGUCGUUGGAAUGACGCACAACGAUAAUUAUCUCACCAAGCUCUGAUACCAUGUCAGAAAGCACG